rnacentral:rRNA from 1 species
GAUGAACGCUGGCGGCGUGCCUAAUACAUGCAAGUCGAGCGAACGGACGAGAAGCUUGCUUCUCUGAUGUUAGCGGCGGACGGGUGAGUAACACGUGGAUAACCUACCUAUAAGACUGGGAUAACUUCGGGAAACCGGAGCUAAUACCGGAUGAUAUUUUGAACCGCAUGGUUCAAAAGUGAAAGACGGUCUUGCUGUCACUUAUAGAUGGAUCCGCGCUGCAUUAGCUAGUUGGUAAGGUAACAGCUUACCAAGGCAACGAUGCAUAGCCGACCUGAGAGGGUGAUCGGCCACACUGGAACUGAGACACUGUCCAAGCUCCUACGGGAGGCAGCAGUAGGGAAUCUUCCGCAAUAGGCGAAAGCCUGACGGAGCAACGCCGCGUGAGUGAUGAAGGUCUUCGGAUCGUAAAACUCUGUUAUUAGGGAAGAACAUAUGUGUAAGUAACUGUGCACAUCUUGACGGUACCUAAUCAGAAAGCCACGGCUAACUACGUG